GUGCAGCAGGCGAGAAACCUCCGCAAUACACGAAAGUGUGACGGGGCCAUCCCGAGUGCCGUCCGCUGAGGACGGCUUUUCCCCAGUGUACAUAGCUGGGGGAAUAAGGAGAGGGCAAGCCUGGUGUCAGCCGCCGCGGUAAUACCAGCUCUCCGAGUGGUGGGGACGCUUAUUGGGCCUAAAGCAUCCGUAGCCGGCUAGGCAAGUCCUCCGUUAAAUCCAACGAUUCAAUCGUUGGGCUGCGGGGGAUACUGUCCAGCUUGGGGGGCGGGAGAGGCCGACGGUAUUCCCGGGGUAGGGGUGAAAUCCUAUAAUCCCCGGGAGGACCACCAGUGGCGAAGGCUGUCGGCUAGAACGCGCCCGACGGUGAGGGGAUGAAAGCUGGGGGAGCGAACCGGAUUAGAUACCCGGGUAGU
rnacentral:rRNA from 1 species